GAUGAACGCUGGCGUCGUGCCUAAUACAUGCAAGUCGAGCGAACAGACGAGGAGCUUGCUCCUCUGACGUUAGCGGCGGACGGGUGAGUAACACGUGGAUAACCUACCUAUAAGACUGGGAUAACUUCGGGAAACCGGAGCUAAUACCGGAUAAUAUAUUGAACCGCAUGGUUCAAUAGUGAAAGACGGUUUUGCUGUCACUUAUAGAUGGAUCCGCGCCGCAUUAGCUAGUUGGUAAGGUAACGGCUUACCAAGGCAACGAUGCGUAGCCGACCUGAGAGGGUGAUCGGCCACACUGGAACUGAGACACGGUCCAGACUCCUACGGGAGGCAGCAGUAGGGAAUCUUCCGCAAAGGGCGAAAGCUUGACGGAGCAACGCCGCGUGAGUGAUGAAGGUCUUCGGAUCGUAAAACUCUGUUAUUAGGGAAGAACAAAUGUGUAAGUAACUAUGCACGUCUUGACGGUACCUAAUCAGAAAGCCACGGCUAACUACGUG
rnacentral:rRNA from 1 species